CCAGGUAUAGCUCAGGGGCAGAGCGCAUGCUUAGCAAGCAUGGAGUCCUAGGCUCAAUCCCCAGUACCUCCA
rnacentral:tRNA from 1 species